GGGUCUAUCCAUUGGUCGGGCUUUACGGUCCGUACUGGUUCGAUGGGUUCCUACCUUCUGAAUAACCGGCAUGCCAUUCAGUUGGUGCGCCGGGGAAGCAGAGCUAUUACCUUGAAAAAAUUAGAGUGCUUAAAGCAGGCUAUUGCUUGAAUAGAUUAGCAUGGAAUAAUAAAAUAGGACGGCACGGUUCUAUUUUGUUGGUUUCUAGGAUCACCGUA
rnacentral:rRNA from 1 species